GUAGGUUAAAAGAUCCGAUAAAAGAUAGGUUAUAUUGAGAAAUUAGGGGUAAACGAAACGGGGACGAAAGUGACAAUGAUGUGAGAAUAAAGAUGAGAGGACGUGCCAGCGAUAUGUUCACAUCGCUGCGGCGGGAUCGCUGGCGUUUCCACCGAUUAUCCAAUUCGGUCGUCGUCAAUUCGCAUUGACGGGCGGGAGUGUAGGUGUCAAUUUCAGUCAAUCUAUUCCCCCCUUCUGCAUGCAAGAAGCGCAGUAAGCGCGGACCCCGAGAAAAUCCGCGGGCGUGAGCUCGCAUACAACUGAAAAACGCCGGGCGGAGAUUGAUAUGGGCAGCCUCGAAAAGAGCCUCUGACGGAAUCGGCGCGGAAAAGGUUGAUCGUAACAUUCGAGCUUCGACGAGAGCGCGCGUUAAGGAAUUCGCCCCUGAAAUUCGACGUUUGCGCGGCAAUCCUCGGAAAUCGGCUGGCAAAAUUCCACUUCUUACGGGUGGACCACCACCGUGUAGCUGUCAAAAGCAGAUAUCCUCCGGCAGUGAAAAGAGUGACGAGUAUCGUCGGAUAUUAUCGGCAUUCUCUUCGAAUUAUCGCGCAUUUGGAUUCUAUUAGGAUCGCGAACUGGCUUUACGCUGGCGAAUAUCGAGAUACGGCCCGUAAUUCGCGUGACUAUGAAUUCUCAUAGAACCGCGUGAAAAAGUACGGCAAAAAUUAAGAGUACAAAUGCGCGUACUAAAUUCUUUAUUACCGCGGUUGAAAUCGAUUUUCUGGCGUGCACAAAUUUCAUUUUUUUUUUAUUUCCCGAGCGCCGCUGAAUGUACUAUAGUUUCACGACUAACACUCAGCAACCCGCCGGUUAAUUAAGAUUACAAUCGGGUAUCAAGUUAGCGAUUCCCAUUUUUUGAAAAAUUUUUUGAAAGUAAUAAACUGCACUUCGUACAAGAAUACGGCGAUAGGAGAUUUGGGAUAUGCAAUCGUCGUCGGCCGGCGGAAUGCUUAAUUGGAAUGCUUGUCGACUCGAUCGACCCAACGUGCAGCGUUUCGAUAUAAGGCAAUUACAGUAAUUGCGCCAAAGUAUUGGUAGGUUCAUUGGGGAAUAUGUGUGUAUAUUUUAUAUGGUAUAUGGCGAACGCAGAUACAUACGCGCGAUGGGCGACGGUAUUCUUUACAUCUAUAUUCUAAUUAGCACUUGAACAAAUGUUGAAAAUCUGUUUAAAAACUUCAACGUACAAAAUUUAACAGCAGAGAACUCUGCCUUUCCCUCUUUUCGCUCGUGAUAUCCAAAACGCGUCAUCUUACUGCAUCGUUAAGAGUAAGCGUAGUUUGCCGAAGACGACCUGUAUAGCAGCAAUUACCGCGGAAGAUAAUGAAGCCGUCAAUCAAACGGAGUAUUAAUCCGAUUCAUCGAAAUUGACGUGAAUAGAUGAUGAUUUCUAUUGUUAUUGCGAGCGUUCUCCCUCCCUCUCCCCUCUCUCUCUCUCUCUCUCUCUCUCUCUCUCCAUUUCGUAUCUCUACUAUUACGGAUAUUAUCCGUUUUUAAACGCGCAGAAAAGUUUCGCAACAGGAGCUUGCACGAUAAAACCACUGUGAAAAAUACUCGCUGCCCGACGACGACGAUGCAUCAAAUUAACAGCUUAACAAGUUCGCAUCGAACGAUAGUUAGAAAUACCUGCGGAUUAUAAGCGAUUACGGAGAACGAGGAGCAAUAAAAUUUCGAACCAUUUCGCGCAGAUUCCGCGGGAAAUUGCCUUUGUUUACAGCGUAAUAUCAUAUUAAUGGAGCGCUUAAUUAACUGGGAAGUUCGAGUAUUAUGCUCGCGUUAUUUAUAACGGAGAUACUGCGACGUGUUCGCCUAUUUUGUACUGAAAAUGCCGGCUCCCCGCCUUCGAACAGUGCAAAUUUACCCGGAGGGCAAAAUAUUUCGCUUGAUUAUUUAAAGAUAUUCCGCAUCUCCCGUCUUAUGUGUUUCAAGAUUAUCUCGUUCAAAUAGAUUAUCCCGAAAAACCUUAAAUCCGAAGGGAAAAAUACCCGAAAUUAGAAUUUUGUUUCGCCUGGUUGGCAUACCGAGACUAGAUGAAAUAUUUUCGCCUUUCUGGAUUAAGCAAAUUUUGCAACUGUUGUUGUUUCCGUUAAUCUAGAUUUGUUUCACCUCGAUGGAUUUACAUCGUCUUUAUUUCGCCGGCGGUGAAACACAGGCGGUGAUUCUCUCGCGCGCGUUUCACAUUCGCUUCCACCGAUACACAUUUCUCGAACGAAACGAGACAGGUACAGGGGACCGGCCUCGCUCGAUUGUCGGCGGACGAGCCCCGCAGUUUAUUUAGUCUGUUUACCGGAAGAGAUGUAACUGCAUGGAAAAAAAAAUGCAUGGCCCCGUUGGAACGAGAAAUUACAGGUCCGACACCGUCGCUGCCGCGACGUCUCUCGUAAAAUAUGCUUCCCUUUUCACUCUAUCGCGCGACGCGUGUAUUUUACCGUGGACCACCACCGCCAUCACGUGGGACGGAUAAAUAUUUGUCAAAGAUAUUACGAUCGCGCGACGCUACACUUUUUUAGAGCGUACUCCUUAAGUCGUAUAUGGGUAACUCCGGGGCCGGCGUUUUAUUAAAAUUCCUUAAACUUUGCGUUAGCGAGGCGAGGCUUUUCCGUUUAUUUAAAUUUCCAAGAGGCUCUCGGCCUUGCGGGCCGUAUGGUUUUACGAGAAAAAUGCUGAGUGAGAGGAAAGAGAGACGGG